AGAUAGUCUAGUUUAAGCAAGAACACUUGUUUGUCAGGCAGGAGGUCCACUUAGCGUGGGGUUAUCUG
rnacentral:tRNA from 1 species